CCUCCCAAAAAAAAUUGAAAGCGGAGUAUUAUUGUUGAAAAGCGGCAUUAUCAGGACGUUGAGUGAAAUGCCACAGCAUAAUGAAAAAACGACAGAAUACAUUUCCCUCUCUGCAUUAACCGAUGGCUUAUUUCUUUGCUUUCGAGAGGCGCGUCACUCUGCGAAAGGUUAAAGGGAAGAUAUUCUAAUCAGGGACUCUUACAGAACAGCAGCUCAAUAAGGUCAACUGGUGUCACAACAUUCAGCUUGGAGGGAGGAAUUUGUGUGUGUACAAGUGUGUGUGCACUGAUGUGUAAACUUUGUCACUGUCAUACUGUCAGUGUUGCUUGUGCAGUGUUUCUUUUCUCUCUUUCCUUAUCUUUUGUUGCUGGUUUCUUGCUAAUCUUACCAUGAAAACACUAUCACCACAUCCUUCUUAGACACACACACACACACACGUACACUGAGUCACAUGUAAAGCGCUGGUGUCUGACGGGGUGAUCCGCCGGCCAAUCGGCUGUAUUGAUUAUUGGGCCAGGGGAGGUUGGUGGAGCGGCAGCAGUAAUUAGGGCUUUUUGGUGUGGAUUAGCUGAGAGAAAAGGUCACACGCUCAACAUCAGUGGCAGGACCACAGGCAGAGACAGGACAAGGAGGGGGGGACUGUUCCCUAACGUGAUUGUCAGCACAUGAAUAUAGAGGUACAUAAGCACAUGCAGAAAUUAAGUGACAGACAUUCAUUGGCAGACAUUUUUAAUGGUUAUGCUUUAAAAGCAAUUACUGAGCUCUUUGAGCAGAGUGACAUUGAAAUCUGAGAGAGCAGGAAACUUGAUCUUCCAGACAGGUUGUAAAGACUCCAAUAGUGUUGACUGUGAUAUUAGACUCACCCUUGAUGUCAGUAGCAAACUCACAUAGCACAGGGAAACUGAGCACACUCAAACAUUCAGUUGCCUUAGCUGAAACCAAGUUGUUGGUCCAAAGUCAUUUUGGGAAAUAAUAUCAAAGAUUUUUGCUUGAUUUUAGGGUUAGGGUUACUUAACAACCUUAAUACAUCAUUUAAUCCAUGUUAGUUUAAACAGGUUUGUCAGUUUGGGAUGAUUACCAAACAUCUAUAACCUGCUCCUCAUCUCAACUUGAGGCUGGCCCUAAGAUCUCAGACAGGAAUGCUUGUGGUUGAGUUGUACUGUGUUCAACGUAGGCAACAUGUUUUUAUGAGGGAGUGGCAUGGGUAAAAUAAUAUGUUGAACAAUCCACAAUCAUUUUCAUCCUUUAAAAAAAAACUGCUUCCCCUCCCAAGUUUAAGAAUUUGACAUCUUCUCAAGUCUGUUAGUUUCUUCAAAGGGCUGUGCAAUUCACAAAACAAGGAACAACCUCUGUACAUGUAACCACUCUUAUUUUGAUUAGGGUUAAGCUGCAAGUAAAUUGUUUCACAGUUGUUUUUUUUUUUUUUGCGCUGUCUGCCUUUUUUCAGUAAUGUCCAAGUCCAAGGCAAAUUUUCCACAGGGACAAUAAAGGGAGUCUUAUCUUAUCGUGUCACCAUAUUCAGUAUUUGCAGAGUACUUGGUGUGUAGUGUCAUGGUGACCUAUCGAGCGGAUUGCUUAACCAACACAAUUAUUAACCUAGGUGUACAAACACUCUAUGCUUGUUAACAUGCAUAUAAUCAUUAUGGAUGAAGUAUACUUAUGAUACUCGGAUCAGGCAGGAAUAAACACCAUGGACUACCUGCAGGUUGACUUCUCAGUGGUAUGGCAGGUCUGAGUGUACCUAAGAGGGUCACGACCCUUACAGACUGUGAGACUGUGAUCUGGACAAACAGGACCGAGGAGCUGCUGCAGGACAUGGAAUGUUCCUUUUGUUUUUUUCUUUGUUCCACUUUUUUUGUUGAAAAGGUAGAAAAUUCCUUCCUCGCAUUGGCAGCAGUCUAAGAAGAUUUUGCAAAACUAAAUGGAUAAAUGCUUAGGUAGUUCUUGGUGUUGGUGUUGUAACUGAGAGUUCAUUCUUUUGUAUUUUCUCCUUCUAAGACACUAAAGAUUCAAUUUAGGAUAAAGACAAGCACUUUUUCCUUUUGAAGAUUUUUUUGGUUUUCAGUACAGCUUGUCUCUAUAAUCUGUGUCCAGCAUAAUAUAUGUUUCCUAUUUGUCCAGUAACAUGUGGAACAUAUAUUUUCUUAAUAAAAAAGCCACUGUUAGUGAUUUAGAA